AUUGAACGCUGGCGGCAUGCCUAACACAUGCAAGUCGAACGGAAACGAUGGGAGCUUGCUCCCAGGCGUCGAGUGGCGGACGGGUGAGUAAUGCUUAGGAAUCUGCCCAGUAGUGGGGGACAACCAGGAGAAAUUCUGGCUAAUACCGCAUACGCACUACGGUGGAAAGUGGGGGACCUUCGGGCCUCACGCUAUUGGAUGAGCCUAAGUCGGAUUAGCUUGUUGGUAGGGUAAUGGCCUACCAAGGCGACGAUCCGUAGCUGGUCUGAGAGGACGAUCAGCCACACUGGGACUGAGACACGGCCCAGACUCCUACGGGAGGCAGCAGUGGGGAAUAUUGGACAAUGGGCGCAAGCCUGAUCCAGCAAUGCCGCGUGUGUGAAGAAGGCCUGCGGGUUGUAAAGCACUUUCAGUAGAGAAGAAAAGCCUAGGGUUAAUAACCCUGAGUCUUGACGUAACCUACAGAAGAAGCACCGGCUAACUCCGUG
rnacentral:rRNA from 1 species